ACCCAAACCACAUGGUAGAGCCUUCACUCAAAAACAGUUUUCCUUAACAAGUAAUUCAAACACUCUGGCACGCCUCUCCCACAAGGAAGCCAUGCGCACAAGCAUGCCCCACCCCAUUUUCUUGUCUACUUAGAAUAAAAUGAUAAAUGGUACUACUGGAAAUAGCUACUUCAUGUGUGCACUACAUAUGACUCUUAUCUAGAAGAUUCUAGACUUUAUCAAACUUACUAAAAUACAGUAAAGGAAAAGGAAAAUUAACGCAAACAAAAAAAGCCAAGACUAAUCUAUUCAGAACAUUAAGAAAAGUCUUCACGAAAAUCGCAAUUGACAGUCCAAUAGCAAGGACAAUAACUUAAUAAGAUAAACAAUCCUUACUGAAGCUAGAAAAACUUUGGCAG
rnacentral:misc_RNA from 1 species